rnacentral:tRNA from 1 species
UCCCAAGUGGCUCAGUGGUAAAGAAUCGGCAUGCAAUGCAGGAGCUGCGGGUUUGAUUCCUACUUUGGGAA